UGGGGAAUUUUGGACAAUGGGCGAAAGCCUGAUCCAGCAAUGCCGCGUGUGUGAAGAAGGCCUUCGGGUUGUAAAGCACUUUUGUCCGGAAAGAAAUCCUUGGCUCUAAUACAGUCGGGGGGAUGACGGUACCGGAAGAAUAAGCACCGGCUAACUACGUGCCAGCAGCCGCGGUAAUAUGUAGGGUGCAAGCGUUAAUCGGAAUUACUGGGCGUAAAGCGUGCGCAGGCGGUUUGCUAAGACCGAUGUGAAAUCCCCGGGCUCAACCUGGGAACUGCAUUGGUGACUGGCAGGCUAGAGUAUGGCAGAGGGGGGCAGAAUUCCACGUGUAGCAGUGAAAUGCGUAGAGAUGUGGAGGAAUACCGAUGGCGAAGGCAGCCCCCUGGGCCAAUACUGACGCUCAUGCACGAAAGCGUGGGGAGCAAACAGGAUUAGAUACCCUGGUAGUCCACGCCCUAAACGAUGUCAACUAGUUGUUGGGGAUUCAUUUCCUUAGUAACGUAGCUAACGCGUGAAGUUGACCGCCUGGGGAGUACGGUCGCAAGAUUAAAACUCAAAGGAAUUGACGGGGUCAUAGCUGUUUCCU
rnacentral:rRNA from 1 species